rnacentral:tRNA from 1 species
GCUUUCGUGGUGUAGUGGUCAGCACGCUCGACGCGUAACCGAGAGGUCCGUGGUUCGAUUCCCGGCAAAGGCA